rnacentral:rRNA from 1 species
AGAGUUUGAUCCUGGCUCAGGAUGAACGUUGGCGGUGUGCCUAAUACAUGCAAGUCGAACGGUGACGAUUUUGUAGCAAUACGAAUGAAAUCAUAGUGGCGAACGGGUGAGUAACGCGUUGGUGAUCUGCCUCGAAGUGUGGAAUAACUUCCCGAAAGGGUAGCUAAUACCGCAUAGUCUCUCAAGGUUUAGAAAAUUGAGAGUAAAGGAUUUAUUCGCUUCGAGAGGAGCCUGCGUCCCAUCAGCUAGUUGGUAGGGUAAUAGCCUACCAAGGCAAUGACGGGUAGGGGACCUGAGAGGGUGGCCCCCCACAAUGGAACUGAAACACGGUCCAUACACCUACGGGUGGCAGCAGUAGGGAAUAUUAGAAAUGGGCGAAAGCCUGAUCUAGCAACACCGCGUGUGCGAUGAAGGCCUUCGGGUUGUAAAGCACUUUUUGGAGGGAAUAGGAAGGAAGGUACCUCCAGAAUAAGUCUCGGCUAACUACGUGCCAGCAGCCGCGGUAACACGUAGGAGGCAAACGUUAUCCGGAUUCACUGGGCGUAAAGCGCGUGUAGGUGGUUCUGUAAGUAGGGCGUGAAAGCUCCCGGCUCAACUGGGAGAGGCCGUACUAAACUGCAGAGCUAGAGGAUGGUAGAGGGAGGUGGAAUUCCAGGUGUAGUGGUGAAAAUGCGCAGAUAUCUGGAGGAACACCCAGUGGCGAAGGCGGCCUCCUGGACCAUUUCCUGGACACUCAGACGCGAAAAGCUAGGGUAGCAAACGGAAUUAGAGACUCCGGUAGUCCUAGCCCUAAACGAUGCAGACUAGGCGUCGGCGGUUUAAUCACCGUCGGUGUCCAAGCUAACGCGAUAAGUCUGCCGCCUGAGGACUACGGCCGCAAGGCUAAAACUCAAAGGAAUUGACGGGUCCCCGCACAAGCAGCGGAGCGUGUGGUUUAAUUCGAUGCUCCGCGAAGAACCUUACCUGGGUUUGGCAUAACAGUGGUAGAGAAGUGAAAACGGAUCGACCCUUCGGGGAGCUGUUACAGGUGUUGCAUGCCUGUCGUCAGCUCGUGUCGUGAGAUGUUCGGUUAAGUCCGCUAACGAGCGCAACCCGCGCUGUGUGUUACAAGUGUCACACAGUACCGCCGGUAUUAAGUCGGAGGAAGGUGCGGAUGACGUCAAGUCAGCAUGACCUUUAUAUCCAGGGCUACACACACGCUACAAUGGUCAGAACAAUAGGUUGCCAAGCCGCAAGGCGGAGCCAAUCCUCCAAAUCUGGCCUCAGUUCAGAUUGCAGGCUGCAACUCGCCUGCAUGAAGUCGGAGUUGCUAGUAACCGCAGGUCAGCAUACUGCGGUGAAUACGUUCCCGGGGAUUGCACUCACCGCCCGUCA